AACCAGCUCUUCAAGUGGUCGGGAAUUUUAUUGGGCUUAAAGUGUCCGUAGCCGGUUUGGAAAGUUCCUGGUUAAAUCUGGUAGCUUAACUAUCAGUCAGCUAGGAAUACUAUCUUACUAGAGGGUGGGAAAGGUUUGGGGUACUUCAGGGGUAGCGGUGAAAUGCGAUAAUCCUUGGGGGACCACCAGUGGCGAAGGCGCCAGACAGGAACACGCCUGACGGUGAGGGACGAAAGCCAGGGGAGCGAACGGGAUUAGAUACCCCGGUAGUCCCGGCCGUAAACGAUGCGUGCUAGGUGUUGGUAGGGCUAUGAGCUGUAUCAGUGCCGUAGGGAAACUGUUAAGCGCGCCGCCUGGGAAGUACGCUCGCAAGAGUGAAACUUAAAGGAAUUGGCGGGGGAGCACCACAAGGGGUGAAGCCUGCGGUUC
rnacentral:rRNA from 1 species